rnacentral:rRNA from 1 species
AAUAGAUACCCAGGUAGUCCACGCCGUAAACGAUGAGUGCUAAGUGUUAGAGGGUUUCCGCCCUUUAGUGCUGCAGCUAACGCAUUAAGCACUCCGCCUGGGGAGUACGGCCGCAAGGCUGAAACUCAAAGGAAUUGACGGGGGCCCGCACAAGCGGUGGAGCAUGUGGUUUAAUUCGAAGCAACGCGAAGAACCUUACCAGGUCUUGACAUCCUCUGACAACCCUAGAGAUAAGGCUUUCCCCUUCGGGGGACAGAGUGACAGGUGGUGCAUGGUUGUCGUCAGCUCGUGUCGUGAGAUGUUGGGUUAAGUCCCGCAACGAGCGCAACCCUUGAUCUUAGUUGCCAGCAUUCAGUUGGGCACUCUAAGGUGACUGCCGGUGACAAACCGGAGGAAGGUGGGGAUGACGUCAAAUCAUCAUGCCCCUUAUGACCUGGGCUACACACGUGCUACAAUGGAUGGUACAAAGGGCUGCAAACCUGCGAAGGUAAGCGAAUCCCAUAAAGCCAUUCUCAGUUCGGAUUGCAGG